rnacentral:rRNA from 1 species
UUUCCAGCAGGUGCGGUUAAACAUAAUAUGUAAAUAAAAUAAUUUGGUUAUUAGUAAUUUAAUAAUUUAUAUAAUUUAAUUUUUUUUAUAAAGUAAAAUUUAAUUAAAAAUUAAAAUUAUAAUUAUUGUAUUCUAUUAAAUUUUAUUUAAAACUAGGAUUAGAUACCCUAUUAUAAAAAUUUAAAAUUUUUACUAAAAAAUUAAUAGUUAAGUUCUUUAAAUUUAAAAAAUUUGGCGGUAUUUUAGUCUUAUUAGAGGAACCUGUUUUUUAAUUGAUAAUCCACGAUUUAUUUUACUUAUUUUUUAAAUUCAUAUAUCGCUGUCAUGAAUAUAUUUAAAAAUUUAUUUUCUUUAAUUAAUUUAAUAAUUUAUGUUAAGUCAAGAUGUGGUUUAUAGAUAAGAAAAUAAUGGGUUACAAUAAAUUUUAUUUUUAGAUUUUUAUAUGAAAAUUUAAAAUAAAAAUGGAUUUAAUAGUAAAUUUAAUAAUUUUAUUAAUAUGAAUAUAGAUCUAAAAUAUGUACAUAUUGCCCGUCAUUCUUAGUAAAAAUAAGACAAGUCGUAACAAAGUAAAUGUACUGGAAAGUGUAUUUAGAAAG